GCCACGGUCGCAUAACCAGGUAUUGCGCCGGCCUUGAGAGCCGGUUCCCUUACGGGAAUUCCCGGUUCGAAUCCGGGCCGUGGCG
rnacentral:tRNA from 1 species